GCGGGGGUAGUUUAAUGGUAGAACAUCAGCUUCCCAAGCUGAGAGCGCGAGUUCGAUUCUCGUCACCCGCUCCA
rnacentral:tRNA from 1 species